GAUGAACGCUGGCGGCGUGCCUAAUACAUGCAAGUCGAGCGAAGAAGCUUGGUGCUUGCCCCUAUUUGGAGAGCGGCGGACGGGUGAGUAACGCGUGGGUAACCUGCCUUUGAGCGGGGGACAACAUUUGGAAACCAAUGCUAAUACCGCAUAACAACUUGAAACAUAAGGUUUAAGAUUGAAAGAUGCAAUUGCUUCACCCAAAGCAGAUCCCGCGUUGUAUUAGCUAGUUGGUGAGGUAAAGGCUGAUCAAGGCGACGAUACGUAGCCGACCUGAGAGGGUGAUGGGCCACACUGGAAUUGAGAAACGGUCCAGGGGCCUACGGGAGGCAGCAGUAGGGAAUCUUGGGGAAUGGGGGAAAGCCUGACGGAGCAAGGCGGAGUGAGUGAUGAAGGUCUUCGGAUCGUAAAACAAUGUAAAUAGGGAAGAACAAACGUUUAAGUAAAUGUUCCCGUCUUGACGGUACCUAAUGAGAAAGCCACGGCUAACUACGUG
rnacentral:rRNA from 1 species